UCUACUUCUAACCUCCUACAGUUUGGUUUCUCUACAGCGGCCUGCGUUAUUGUGUUCGUUUCCCCUGCUGCAUAGUAAGUGACCUCCCAAAAUUUGGCAGCUCACAAUGGCAAUGAACACUUAUCUCACACAGCUUCUGAGGCUCAGGAAUCCAGCUUUUGAUCUCUGAUGUAAAAAGAACAUGGCCUUGGCAGCUGCUGAUCUCAGAAGAAUGACAGACCCUGGACAAAACUACAUAGAACCCAACAGCCUAGAGCCAAGCACAGCCAAACACAAUUUGGAACAGCUGAAAUCUGGCUGGUCUGCUGGCAUUGGACACAGCAAGAAGGCAGCCAUCUGCAAGCCAGGAAGAAGUUUCUCACCAGACACCAAAUAUGCCGGCACCUUGAUCCUGAGGCUCCCAGCCUUCAGAACUGUAAGAAAUAAAUGUCUGUUGCUUAA